AGAGUUUGAUCCUGGCUCAGGAUGAACGCUGGCGGCGUGCCUAACACAUGCAAGUCGAACGGAGUCGUUUUGGAAAAUUCUUCGGGAUUGGAAUUCUCGACUUAGUGGCGGACGGGUGAGUAACGCGUGAGCAAUCUGCCUUUAAGAGGGGGAUAACAGUCGGAAACGGCUGCUAAUACCGCAUAAAGCAAUGAAUUCGCAUGUUUUCAUUGCCAAAGGAGCAAUCCGCUUUUAGAUGAGCUCGCGUCUGAUUAGCUAGUUGGCGGGGUAACGGCCCACCAAGGCGACGAUCAGUAGCCGGACUGAGAGGUUGAACGGCCACAUUGGGACUGAGACACGGCCCAGACUCCUACGGGAGGCAGCAGUGGGGAAUAUUGCGCAAUGGGGGAAACCCUGACGCAGCAACGCCGCGUGAUUGAAGAAGGCCUUCGGGUUGUAAAGAUCUUUAAUCAGGGACGAAACAAAUGACGGGACCUGAAGAAUAAGCUCCGGCUAACUACGUGCCAGCAGCCGCGGU
rnacentral:rRNA from 1 species